GCUCUGUCCCACCCUCCUGGCAAACAUCUGUGGGAGAAGGCAGUGCCGGGGCCACGGAGGCAGAGCCAGCAUUGGAAAGGUUGCUCCUCUUCUACCUGCCCUGUUCUCCACAGGGAAAAACAAAGCACUCAAGAAAAGGGAAACCUGCUAAGAGGGGGAUCAAGGGAAUGCAUGUCAUGAAGGGUAAAAAAAAAGGUAGACAAGUGGUGCUAUUAAUAGAUAAUUUGUGGCAGGUAAGUCAUGAUAACCUUUCUCUGUAUUGUUCUAAGGUUGCAGGCAAGCCUAGGCGUGCCUUGCUGAGAGCUGAGAGGGAAUGCUUAAUUCGUGGGAGUACAUAAAUUUCCAAGUAAAUCUUUGGCAUAAGAGAGCACUCAUUCAAAUGACAGCUAAAACUCCAAAAUCAUGAAAAAAUACCUGAACUGCAAAAUAAUGCAAAGGGAGCCUAAACACGGAGAGAGGGGAAAGAAAUGGCCAAAGCAAUCUGCAGCACCUUGCUCUACUCCUGUGUCUUGGUUUUUCAGGAGUGCCUCAGAGUUAAAGCCCUACCUGUUCUAAACAGAGGUUUCCUGUUCUCAGGAAGUUAACAAUUACAAGCAGAGGGCAGACGAAAUGGGCUGGCAACCGAGCACAGCACUGAUAAGGUGACACUGCUGCUCCCUGAGGAGGAAAAUGUAGCUGCUGAACUUGGGAAGCACCCAAAGGCUGGCACUCAACAUGGAGUGGCUGCUCCCAACGUGGACCUGGUACACAGAUGUUUGCUCAUGGAGGAACACUGGGGAAAUCUAGGUUUGAUGUUGCCUGGUUGCAGUAGCAUUUCAGCAGAAGAUCUGGAGAAGACCUGGCCAUACAUCUUCAUCAGAUAUAGCUUUUGUCACUGAUGUGUUCCACGGUCUGGGCUUUGGGAAGUAGAAAACUGAGGCUGCAGUGGUGAGAUUUGGAAGUAGAAGAGCAGCACACUGAUACUUGGGUUAUGGAGCCAGCUCAAACUUAGUAUGCCUGGCAGCAUAGACAAGGUUACUGCCUAUUACAGGAAGGUCAUACAAAUACUCAAUUUUCCACAGUGCUAACACUUCUAAAAAUCAUGUUAGCCUGGUACAAGCCUAAGAGAGUCAAAUAGUGUGUAGUAUUGACACUCGGAGGCCAGAAGACUUUGAAGAAACUCAGUUAUCAGUUUUAACUGCCGCAGAAAAAUGAUGUCUCUGCCACAGCACACCUAAAGUUGUAUCAUGUCCUCCUGGGCAAAUAGAGCUGUGGGAAAUUUGGUGGGUCCUUCCCCCAAAUCUGCCCUAGCAGAUUAGCUGAUGUAAAGCAACAGAAACCAGACCUUUUUUUUUCAUUGUUGCACAAGAAAUAAAAAAAACGCCUUCCCUGUAUAGCCAUCACCUUGAGAAAGCUCAUUCUUUUAUUCACACAUUUUCCUCUCACAGAGAUGAAGUUUCUACAGGCUCAGAGAGAGGUGGAUGCUUCUGAAGAGGCCAAACCUGCCCUGAUAUCACAAAAGUGUGACAUAAAGUGUGCUGCACUGCAGAUCACUGGGGCUGGGCUUCUGAUUAACACACGGCUCACAGAAGGGACUGGGGCCCGUGGAGACUUGGCAUUUCAGUCGCUUUUCAGCACUCAACCUUUGCCACAGAGCACAGGUUUCAAGGGCAAUGUAACACUUGCAUAUUUACCUACUGUGAAUGGAGGAGGUGCCGGGUUGGACGGCUUACAGACUGUAAAGUCAAACAUUAAUUUAAUACAGACAUCUUAUAACUUCAUACUGGCUUGGGAGCAACUAAUACAUAGGGAUAUUAAAAGUGAGAAAGCACCUAAAAUUCACAAAACUCUUUCAAUGAAGCACCAAUUUACUUACAAAUUGUUAACAACCUUGACAAUACAGAGACUGAACAAUAAAACCAAAAUAUGGGUAUCAAAUAACAGAGGGGAAAUUUCUGUGAAUCUUAAAUAAGGUUUAAUUUUGUUCCAGUUCUCUUUCAACAGAUGCAUUUUUAUUUCAUCCUGCAGGGCAACACUUAUUUUGGAAAAGAGUACAGGCAGAUCCAUAGGGGCUACUGCAGAGGCUUUGAAAACUUUCCAUUCCCAGUAAAGAGCCUGCAUCUGAGCACAUGGGGCUAUUAGGAAUAUGUUUAGACUCAUCCCUAAGCAACGUGUCGAAACCACCUCCCCAGGAAAUACUGGUACAGCACUGCUCUCCUCCGACAGGAGCUACAUCCCCUUCUCUGGAGCAGAAAGACUAGCAACUACCUGCUGCUAAAAAACAGUGCUAAACCCACUAAAAACAUGAACAAGACAUCGAUGAAUACAAGCUUGUGGGAUCACGCUGUGUAUGAGCCUGAAAUUCCAGACUGUGAGUCAGUCUGUGGACUGUGUGGCAGAGCCUCUAGUGAUCCUUUGCACAGACAUGGAGUAAGUCUUGUCAAAACUUCAUUCUCAUCAGUGUGUUAGUCAAUGUUUUGGGUGUUAGCAUCUUGUUGAUUGCUUUCUUUGUUAAGGAACAGUAAAUAAAAUGGUAGUGUGUAGCUCCUUUGGUGUGUAGAUCUCUCACCUGUGAUGCCGUAUUUCUGAGGGGAGAAGCAAAGGAGAGAUGGAUUUGUAACCCCAGAGCUGUAUCAAGGAAUUGCCACUGUUAAAACAAAGCUCACUCCAUCCCUGCACUACUCAUGAUGGUGCUGACUGUCAGGAGCCCUGAAAGCUUCUGGACUUCUGCAGCCAUUAGAGAUGCUAGUGGGUAUUCUGUGGGAAUUUAUUUCUAGUGAGAAAACAGUCUAGCAUGCCCCAUGCCCUGGGUUAGCAUCCCUUGAGUGUUGUAUGGGAUAAGCCAACACAGGGAAUCCAUGUCUGGAGUUCUGUUCCUUCUAUACAGUAACUGGAAAUGGGGGCAAGGGUAUGUAUUGUCUUAGUUCUGCUAAAAUCCCUCCCUUGCCACCUGCAGGCCUAAGUGAAGUGGAAUAUGCAAGGAAGGAAAGAAAAAAAAUUAUAAGCAAGGAGGUGAGAGGAAUUCUCAUGGCUUCAUUCCUGGGAGGAAUAUCCAAAAACACAUCCCUGGGAUACUGAUUUCUAGCAACUAGGUUUUCUAUUUAUUUCAUUCCAGUUGAGUGAAGAAGGAAAAGGUGGGACAAUGGCAGUCACUCAAAAAGAGGUUUCAGCCCUAUCAUAUUUUGGUGACAUUCUUUUAGAAAACUGUGUCUCCAAGAUCCUUUUUGCCUUGUGAAUAAGAUGUUGAAAGAAUAUUCAAGUUAAAUGUCUGCAUUUCUAACCUGAAUAAAAGUAUCAUGCUCAGCCACGCAAAUUCAUGUGUCAGUCAGAUCAUGGGCUGACAGAACUUCUUUUAAUCUAAUGAGUCUGCAUUCAUUAAAACAAAUUAGUACAGUUCCACUAGAGUCAAGGUAGUGGUACUGUUUCAGAGGGCUUCACAGCAAAGAUUCAAGCAAUGUGAAUAAUAUCAGGAAUAAGUUGUUUUAUCCCCUCUGAAACAUAACCUGGAAGUGUUAUAGCA